UUUCCAGCCCGCCUAGCAACACCCACAAACAACGUCACGACGCAACGUGGUUAAACAGUACGUUUAUUAAAGUAACUGGGUGAACGACACCGGAGCGGACUGCAAAUCGCAACGCUACUUUCUCGAGUGCAGAUACUCUUCGAGACGGCUAAACAACGUGUCCAACUCGCUGAGACCUUUCCGCGUGCCGUUAUCCGAUUUCCUUUCCGCCUCCUGAGACAGCCGACUAAUCACGGACUUAUCUCCGCAACCUAACAGAGGCUGGGAGCCCGACAAAAGUAAAACAGCGUGCUAUGAACACGUUGUUACCUCUGCGCGGACAGCGCCGCCACAGAGACACUUACGCAUUGCCGCAUGUCUUUGUAGAUGGAUUCUAGCGUCGAGCGCAUACUAUGCAAUUCCGUCUUGAGUCCGGGAUAGACGUGGUCGCCUGCGGGGAACACGAUCUCCAGAUACCGCCUCAACAACCAGUCCAUGACGCUGCAUCCCCAACAGCCUUUGACCACCGUACCGUCGAGCCACACGGAGUAGUCGUCCUCACGUUGCUACAAGAGGAAAACUACGUCACCCGACACGCGGAAAAGAAAGACCGUCACAAUAAACCGUACCUACGUGACCUACCAACGUAGGUUUUACUCGAUGAAAGGUGACGCGGAGAUCUUGCAAUCUGGUCGCGUAAUCCUCUGGACGACACUGCGGCUUUGUAUUCUUUAUCGUCGUCGUCGUCGCCGGCUUCGCCUCCUCGGAAGCGCCUAGAAAAAAGACGAUCAGGACCAGAGAGGAAGAGACCAUCACCGACAGCAUCACCGCAGCAUGCCGCCCCAGUCCGCCGCGGUUUCUUCUCUUGCAGGUACCACUCGUAGACUGUCAGCCUCGCGAGGAGACACCGCGGACCGGGGAAACGGAUAAGUUUACGAACAGAAAUCUCAAGAGAAAGACGCUGACCCGGCAAGUACCGUCACGGAGACACGGUGGUUUUUAUUGAAUUUCCAGUGUAUCGAGCCACCGUGAUGCAGGUACGGUGGUUUUAUGUGAAGUGCCGCUAUCUAUAGGCGAUGUGUUCCCUGACGGUGUGUGUUUUUUGGGGAUAGACAACGUGGUUCUUGUACGUGGUUUUUACCCUGCUCAAUAAAGUCACGUUUUCC
rnacentral:sRNA from 1 species